rnacentral:rRNA from 1 species
GGGUCAGUAGGUUGGUCGUGCCACCGGUACGUACUGGUCUCACUGAUUCCUCCUUCCUGAAGAACCGUAAUGCCAUUAAUUUGGUGUUGCGGGGAAACAGGACUGUUACUUUGAAAAAAUUAGAGUGUUUAAAGCAAGCUAACGCUUGAAUACAUUAGCAUGGAAUAUUGAAAUAGGACGAUCGAUCCUAUUUUGUUGGUUUCUAGGAUUGACGUA